rnacentral:rRNA from 1 species
AGAAAUCAACCGAGAUUCCGAAAGUAGCGGCGAGCGAAAUUGGACUAGCCCUUAAGCUUUACACGCGUUAGACGAACGGUCUGGAAAGUCCGACGAUACAGGGUGAUAGUCCCGUAGUUGACGACGUGUGUUCAGUGAAAUCGAGUAGGGCGGGACACGUGAUAUCCUGUCUGAAUAUGGGGGGACCAUCCUCCAAGGCUAA